rnacentral:misc_RNA from 1 species
AUCUCACACUUGCCCAGUGU